AUGGCUCCUUCCCCGCGCGGUCGCGCCGCACUUCCUCCCAGCACCGGAGCGCCCCCUGUCCUCAUCACCUUGACCCACCUCCUUCCACCGAGCUCGUUCCGGCCACCCCGCACCCAGCCAGCGAUGGAUCUGAGCACCCCCUGCCCAGCCGGCGACGGAUCUUGGCUCUUCCCCCACGAACCUCCUCCCAAUCUCGCGUCGUUCACCUGGCGCGGAGCUAGACUGCUCCUCCCAUGGUGUUCGGCGGAGGGCGGACGACGGCGAGCUGCACCUCCGUCGCGGCCAGCGGCGAGGGCCCCCGAGCGCUCCUCCUGGGGUUCCCGUCGUUCUGCCUCCACCCCGCGUGCAGUGCACAUCUACUGCACUGCUAUCCCGUGCAGUUCGGAUCCGGCCCUCCACCUCCAGACGCCCGUCGCACGUGCCACUCCCCGGCAUCCUAGCUUCCCCUUCUCUGCAGUUCGCAUGGGGGACAACUGCAGCUUGCCCUUUCCUUCAGAUUUUUUGAUGCACACUAAAUUUUUUGAUGCGGUCCCCUUGGGUGCUGCCUUCUCUCCUUUUUGCUCGCCCAUGCCGCUGGGCGAUUUGGCUUCCUCAUGCAGUUCAACGGGGCCACCAAUGGCCUUCCCGCGACGACCAUCUGGCGGCGGAUUGGCCAGCGGCGACAGCCACCACUCUACUCUCUCCCCCUUAUCCACAUGCGUUCAUUCACACAGCAGUCCGGCGGCUCCACUGGCGGCAUGUGCAAUUCACUCCAUGCGAGAUGAGGUGCUCCUCCUUGAUGGCCGAAGAGUUCAGAAAAAGGAUUGCGCCUCACAGUAUGCGGGUGUUGUGGUCAUGCAGCUUGGAGAUGCUCGCGAUGCCGUUCGGAGCUUGUGCGCAUGCACUACGGCGAGCGCCAUCUCUUCCCAUUGGUCGGUGGACCAUGGCCGUGCAGCUCGGAGAUGCUCCCCAUGCGGUUCCGGGCUUGUGUGCGUGCAGUCGGGAGAGCGCCAUCUCCAUCUCUUCCCCUGUGGUCCGUCGACCAUGGUUGUGCAGCUCGGAGACGCUCGUCGUGCGGUUCAGGGCUCAUGCUUGUGUAGUCCGGCGAGGGCCAUCUCUUCCCCUGUAGUCCGUCGACCAUGGCAUGCAGUUUGCGGACGCUCGCCAUGCAGAACAGGGCUCAUCCGCGUGCAAUCUGAUGAGCAUCCGUGCACAACAGCACCUCUACCACAACAUUCAGAAAGAGGAUCCCCCUAG
rnacentral:rRNA from 1 species